rnacentral:rRNA from 1 species
GACGAACGCUGGCGGCGUGCCUAAUACAUGCAAGUCGAACGCAUUUUCUUUCACCGUAGCUUGCUACACCGACAGACAAGGAGUGGCGAACGGGUGAGUAACGCGUGGGUAACCUACACAUCAGCGGGGGCUCACACUUGGAAACAGGUACAAAUACCGCAUACUUCCAUUUACCGCAUGGUAGGUGGGUGAAAGUCGCUUUUGAGUCACUGAUGGAUGGACCGGUGGUUCAUUAGCUAGUUGGGGGGGUAACGGCCUACCUAGGCUGUGAUGCAUACCCGAACUGAGAGGAUGAUCGGCCACACUGGGAAGGAGACGAGGCCCAGACUCGGACGUGAGACACCAGUCGGGAAUCUACGGGAAGGAACGGAAGUCUAACCGAGCAACGCCGCGAGAGUGUAGAGGGGUUUCGGAUCGUAAAACUCGGUUGUUAGAGAAGAGCAAGGAUGUGUGUGGAGAGUACAUCCCAUGACGGUAUCUAACGAGAAAGCCACGGCUAACUCCGUG